CCGCAACGAGCGCAACCCUCGUUUUUAGUUGCCAGCAUUAAGUUGGGCACUCUAAAGAGACUGCCGGUGACAAACCGGAGGAAGGUGGGGAUGACGUCAAGUCAGCAUGCCCCUUACGUCCUGGGCUACACACGUACUACAAUGGUAGGGACAGAGGGCAGCCAACUCGCGAGAGUGAGCUAAUCCCGUAAACCCUGCCUCAGUUCAGAUCGCAGGCUGCAACUCGCCUGCGUGAAGGCGGAAUCGCUAGUAAUCGCCGGUCAGCAUACGGCGGUGAAUCCGUUCCCGGGCCUUGUACACACCGCCCGUCACACCAUGGAAGUUGGCCAUGCCCGAAGUCGUUACUCUAACCGUAAGGAGGAGGAUGCCGAAGGCAGGGCUGAUGACUGGGGUGAAGUCGUAACAAGGUAGCCGUACCGGAAGGUGUGGCUGGAUCACCUCCUUU
rnacentral:rRNA from 1 species